UUCUAUUUUAGUUUACAAAAGAUCCACCCACCAUACGAACAAGGAGAAAUCGUGCAUUAAAUACAGUAAAGUGAAGAUUAAAGAGGACGAAAACACCGGCGACCACCGUCUUAUAUAUGUGCAAAUUCGCUGUAUGCCAAAGAUUAAAAAGAAAGGCAUUCGCCUGCACUAUCGUUCAGCGGGAUGCGAUACUCCAUAGGCCAAUGAUAAGUUUGUGGUCAUCUUUAUAUAUAAAAUUUAGUAAUUACAUUAAUU